AAUUGUUUAAUUGUGGCAAUAGAAAGUUUAUUCUUUAUUAUCUGCAUAAAUAGUUAUUAGAUAUUAUGAUGAGAUUGUUAAGUUUUGAUUCAUUAGCAGUUAGUUUUUUGUUAAAAUUUGUGUUUUAAAAGAAUAAAGAAUAUAAAGGGGAUAGGACACAGUGCCAGCAUCUGCGGUUAAUCUGUUUUCUUUGCUUUUAAAUAGAGGUGAUUAAAUUAAUAAUAAGUAAAAAUGGGUUAAAUUUGUUUAUUGUGUUUUUAAGUGAUUUAUCUUAUAUAAAAUAGGUUUUAUGACAGGGAUUAGAUACCCCAUUAAUACUAUUGGUAAUAUAUCUUAGUUUUAUAACUAAAAUAAUUUGGCAGUGAGCGAUUCUUAUUAGGGGAAGGUGUGGUGUAAAGGAUGGUCCGCCUAAUAAUUCACUUUUAUUAUAUUGGUGUAUAUCUGGUUUAAUAUUAUUGUUGAGUAACAGAAGUUGUGUAAUAUUAUUUAAGCCAAGUCUAUGUGCUGUUUAUAAAAGUAUUCAUGCGUUACAUUAAUAAAUGUUAGAUUGUGAUAUUUGAUAAUUUAGGACUUAAAAGUAAUGUUUAAUAAGUUAGUAAACGUGAAAAGAGUUUAGCUCAGGUACACACCGCCCGUCACCCUCGAUGAUUAUUGAGGUAAGUCGUAACAAGGUAACUUUAAAUGAAUUUGAAGUUAGUUACUGGUUAAUAAAUUUAA
rnacentral:ncRNA from 1 species